AUGCUCGCUCGGCAUGGAUCAUGGAUGGAAUCAAGGGUCGACCAGUGCGCGGACGCCGAUGCCGAAGAAGACGCAGAGAGGCACGAUGAGCAGGCCGUAGUGGGCGAUGAACUCGGCACUGUCGGCUUGCACGCGCACAGGGUAGCUGCCGAAGGCGCCGGCGACGAAGGCGUUAAUGAAGUGGAAGUAGGUGAGGAUGCUGACGGCGUGGGCGAAGGCCGCGAAAAUCCUGGGCGAAGGCCUCCAGGAGACCGGCGCCAAGGCAGCUACCGUGGCCGUUGCUGCCUGGGUGCCGGCGGAGAGCAGCAGCAGCAGCCCGUGGGUGCGCAUGGCCACCGCGUUCUCCUCGUCCUCGGUGGCAGCGCAGGCAGCCCCCUGCUGCUUCAUCUGGGGGUGGAGGGUGGUGACGCAGAGGGCGAAGGUCGCCGCUGCCAAGCCGAGGACGAGAUGCACACACGCCACCGCACGGAUCUGCACCGUCGCCGCACCUGCUCCGGCAACAACAAUAACAACGAGGGGUUGACGGCCACCGGCAGCACCACCAGCCUCCAUCGCCGACGCCGCGCACGAUCAAGAAACAAAGCAGCUAGCUGCUCUGUGGCCUGUGUGUGUGGACUAUGGAGAGGAUAA
rnacentral:rRNA from 1 species